rnacentral:misc_RNA from 1 species
GAUGAAGAACGCAGCGAAAUGCGAUAAGUAAUGUGAAUUGCAGAAUUCAGUGAAUCAUCGAAUCUUUGAACGCACAUUGCGCCCCUUGGUAUUCCGGGGGGCAUGCCUGUUCGAGCGUCAUUUCAACCAUCAAGCCCCAGGCUUGUGUUGGGGACCUGCGGCUGCCGCAGGCCCUGAAAACCAGUGGCGGGCUCGCUGUCACACCGGGCGUAGUAGAUUUUAUCUCGCUCAGGGCGUGCUGCGGGUUCCGGCCGUUAAAAAGCCUUUUUUACCCAAGGUUGACCUCGGAUCAGGUAGGAAGACCCGCUGAACUUAAGCAUAUCAAUAAGCGGAGGA